CGGGCGCGGGGCGGCCGGCUCCCCCGCCCCAGGGUGGUUCCCGCCGCCUGUUGCCUUGUAUGGUCCGAGGACGCCGCAGUACCCGGGGCCCCGCCCGACGCGGCCCCGACCCACAGUCGGGCCUGGCGUGCCCGACCCCCACCCCGGCCCCUCCUUGGGGCGCGAGCCCUCUAGCUUCCAAGACCCCCAAAGGCCGAGAUCCCGCAAUGCCGGACUUCUCGAGUCCCGACGGGCCAAGACUCUGCAGUUCCGAGGUUCUAGGGACCCGGAAAGCCAGAAUGCUGCGUUUUGCUGCCCCUGUGAACGGCCGGGCCGGGUGACGUCACUUCCUGCCAGGUAAGCGCCGCGGGCGGCUCGUUCUGCGCGGAGGAUUUGGAGAGCGAUCGGUCUCCCGCACCUAUCCCGCUUCUGAGAGCCCACGUCACCCUCCCCGCUCUUCACUGCUUCUAGACCGCGGAAAACCCGGGAUUCCAGUUUACACACAGAUUCCUUUUAUUUAAAAAUUCCAAAAACCACAAAAAUAAACUUUCAACAAUAUAUUACUUAAUAUAUUAUAGUAUACUUAUAACAAUAAUUAUUCCAUCGUUUCCAAUAUUACAAAAAGGAGGAAGAAAAAUACAAGGGAAGCAGACGACCCAUAUAUAUAAAUACUAUAAAAUCUAAUAGAAUAAAUAAAGUCGUCAUAAAUAAGGGGCCCAAUGGGUGGGAUGGGGGUGUUUGGCAAUGGCUUUGGCUACUUGCUUUUGGAGGGAAAUUUGAGCACCAGGAUUCCCCCUCAGGGGCAGGCUCCAGUCACCAGCAGGCACCGGAACCUCAGGGUCUAGGAGAAAUUGGAAGGGGGCAGUGGGAGCCUACUAUUCACAGCAUUGGGAAAGGGAGGGGUGGGUAGAGAGCUCACUGCCUUCCUCAAAACUGCUACAUUUUUUUUUUUUU